rnacentral:rRNA from 1 species
UGGCGGCGUGCUAUACAUGCAGUCGAGCGAACCAUGGGAGCUUGCUCCCUGAGGUUAGCGGCGGACGGGUGAGUAACACGUGGGUAACCUGCCUGUAAGAUUGGGAUAACUCCGGGAAACCGGAGCUAAUACCGGAUAACAUUUUGAACCGCAUGGUUCGAAAUUGAAAGAUGGCUUCGGCUAUCACUUACAGAUGGACCCGCGGCGCAUUAGCUAGUUGGUGAGGUAACGGCUCACCAAGGCGACGAUGCGUAGCCGACCUGAGAGGGUGAUCGGCCACACUGGGACUGAGACACGGCCCAGACUCCUACGGGAGGCAGCAGUAGGGAAUCUUCCGCAAUGGACGAAAGUCUGACGGAGCAACGCCGCGUGAACGAUGAAGGCCUUCGGGUCGUAAAGUUCUGUUGUUAGGGAAGAACAAGUACCAGAGUAACUGCUGGUACCUUGACGGUACCUAACCAGAAAGCCACGGCUAACUACGUGCCAGCAGCCGCGGUAAUACGUAGGUGGCAAGCGUUGUCCGGAAUUAUUGGGCGUAAAGCGCGCGCAGGCGGUUUCUUAAGUCUGAUGUGAAAGCCCACGGCUCAACCGUGGAGGGUCAUUGGAAACUGGGAAACUUGAGUGCAGAAGAGGAGAGU